AGAAUUCCAUCUUUCUUCCUCAUUCAUCAGAGAACUCUCUUUAGGCUUUCCGAAAAGGUAUCACAUGCCAAGUGUUUGGCAUCACGGUCUAAAAGUUCUAGAGUCAUACAUUUUUGACAAAAGAAAAAGAGAAAAACCGAAAAAAAGAGGGAUGCAACACGAGGACUUUCCUGGAGGUCACCCAUCCUAAUACUACUCUCGCCCAAGCAGGCUUAACUGCGGAGUUCAAAUGGGAUCUGGUGCAUUAGUGCUGGUAUGAUCGCAUUCGUUACUACAUGCAAUGCAGUCGUAUGUAUUCUUUUUUGAAGACUUUAUGAUCCAUUUGCCGUGGGUCCCACCAUCUAUGUAGGAAUACCCUUUCUUGUUUAGAAGAGCUUUGAUACAUGCUAAAUAUUCGAAAACAAUGUCCAAACAUAUAAUUUUCGCCCCGUAAUAUAGCAAAGAUCACGAAAAGGCCCGAAAAUGUACAUUAAGGUCAAAAUUUGGAGUAGAAAAAAAAAAGCAAUAGAAGAAUUCCAUUUUCCUUCCUCAUUCAUCGGAGAGCUCUCUUUAGGCUUUCCGAAAAGGUAUCACAUGCCAAGUUUGGCCUCACGGUCUAAAAGUUCUAGAGUCAUACAUUUUUGACAAAAAGAAAAGAGAAAAACCAAAAACAAAUAGGGAUGCAACACGUGGACUUUCCUGGAGGUCACCCAUCCUAGUACUACUCUCGCCCAAGCACGCUUAACUUCAGAGUUCUCAUGGGAUCCGGUGCAUUAAUGCUGGUAUGAUCGCAUCCGUUACUACAUGCAAUGCAAUCGUAUCUAUUACUUUUUGAAGACUUUGUGAUCCAUUUGCCGUGGGUCCCACCAGGUAUCUAGGAAUACCCUAUCUUGUUUAUAAGAGAUUUGAUACAUGCAAAAUAUUCGAAAACAAUGUCCGAACAUAUAAUUUUCGCCCCGUAAUAUAGCAAAGAUCACGAAAAGGCCCGAAAAAGUACAUUAAGGUCAAAAGUUGGAGUAGAAAAAAACACAAUAGAAGAAUUCCAUUUUCCUUCCUCAUUCAUCGGAGAGCUCUCUUUGGGCUUUCCGAAAAGGUAUCACAUGCCAAGUUUGGCCUCAUGGUCUAAAAGUUUCAGAGUCAUACAUUGUUAACAAUAAAAAAAAGAGAAAAACCGAAAAAAAGAGGGAUGCAACACGAGGACUUUCCUAGAGGUCACCAAUCCUAGUACUACUCUCGCCCAAGCACGCUUAACUGCGGAGUUCUGAUGGGAUCCGGUCCAUUAGUGCUGGUAUGAUCGCAUCUGUUACUACAUGCAAUGCAAUCGUAUUUAUUCUUUUUUGAAGACUUUAUGAUCAAUUUGCCGUGGGUCCCACCAGCUAUGUAGGAAUACCCUUUCUUGUUUAUAAGAGCUUUGAUACAAGCAAAAUAUUCGAAAACAAUGUGCGAACAUAUUAUUUUCGCCCCGUAAUAUAGCAAAGAUCACGAAAAGGCCCGAAAAAGUACAUUAAGGUCAAAAUUUGGAGUAGAAAAAAAAAACAAUAGAAGAAUUCCAUUUUGCUUCCUCAUUCAACGGAGAGCUCUCUUUGGGCUUUCCGAAAAGGUAUCACAUGCCAAGUGUUUGGCAUCACAGUCUAAAAGUUCUAGAGUCAUACAUUUUUGACAAAACAAAAAGAGAAAAACCGAAAAAAAGAGGGAUGCAACACGAGGACUUUCCUGGAGGUCACCCAUCCUAGUACUACUCUCGCCCAAGCACGCUUAACUGCGGAGUUCAAAUGGGAUCUGGUGCAUUAGUGCUGGUAUGAUCGCAUUCGUUACUACAUGCAAUGCAGUCGUAUGUAUUCUUUUUUGAAGACUUUAUGAUCCAUUUACCGUGGGUCCCACCAUCUAUGUAGGAAUACCCUUUGUUGUUUAGAAGAGCUUUGAUACAUGCUAAAUAUUCGAAAACAAUGUCCGAACAUAUAAUUUUCGCCCCGUAAUAUAGCAAAGAUCACGAAAAGGCCCGAAAAAGUACAUUAAGCUCAAAAUUUGGAGUAGAAAAAAAAAGCAAUAGAAGAAUUCCAUUUUCCUUCCUCAUUCAUUGGAGAGCUCUCUUUGGGCUUUCCGAAAAGGUAUCACAUGCCAAGUUUGGCCUGACGGUCUAAAAGUUCUAGAGUCAUACAUUUUUAACAAAACAAAAGAGAAAAACCAAAAAAAAAGAUGGAUGCAACACGAGGACUUUCCAGGAGGUUACCCAUCCUAGUACUACUCUCGCCCAAGCACGCUUAACUGCGGAGUUUUGAUGGGAUCUUUAGUGCUGGUAUGAUCGCAUCCGUUACUACAUGCAAUGCAAUCGUAUAUAUUCUUUUUUGAAGACUCUAUAUUCGAUUUGCCGUGGGUCCCACCAGCUAUGUAGGAAUACCCUAUCUUGUUUAUAAGAGCUUUGAUACAUGCAAAAUAUUCGAAAAGAAUGUCCGAACAUAUAAUUUUCGCCCCGUAAUAUAGCAAAGAUCACGAAAAGACCCGAAAAAGUACAUUAAGGUCAAAAGUUGGAGUAGAAAAAAAAUACAAUAGAAGAAUUCCAUUUUCCUUCCUCAUUCAUCGGAGAGAUCUCUUUGGGCUUGCCGAAAAGGUAUCACAUGCCAAGUUUGGCCUCACGGUCUAAACGUUCUAGAGUCAUACAUUUUUAACAAAAAAAAAAAGAGAAAAACCGAAAAAAAAGAGGGAUGAAACACGAGGACUUUCCUAGAGGUCCCCCAUCCUAGUACUACUCUCGCCCAAGCACGCUUAACUGCGGUUUUUUGAUGGGAUCUGGUGCAUUAGUGCUGGUAUGAUCGCAUUCGUUACUACAUGCAAUGCAAUCGUAUCUAUUCUUUUUUGAAGAAUUUAUGAUCCAUUUGCCGUGGGUCCCACCAGCUAUGUAGGAAUACCCUAUCUUGUUUAUAAGAGCUUUGAUACAUGCAAAAUAUUCGAAAACAAUGUCCGAACAUAUAAUUUUCGCCCCGUAAUAUAACAAAGAUCACGAAAAGGCCCGAAAAAAUACAGUAAGGUCAAAAUUUAGAGUAGAAAAAAAAAACUAAUAGAAGAAUUCCAUUGUCUUUCCUCAUUCAUUGGAGAGCUCUCUUUGGGCUUUCCGAAAAGGUAUCACAUGCCAAGUUUGUCUCACGGUCUAAAAUUUAUAGAGUCAUACAUUUUUAACAAAACAAAUAGAGAAAAACCAAAAAAAAAGAGGGUUGUAACACGAGGACUUUCCGAGAUGUCACCCAUCCUAGUACUACUCUCGCCCAAGCACGCUUAACUUCAGAGUUCUCAUGGGAUCCGGUGCAUUAAUGCUGGUAUGAUCGCAUCCGUUACUACAUGCAAUGCAAUCGUAUCUAUUACUUUUUGAAGACUUUGUGAUCCAUUUGCCGUGGGUCCCACCAGCUAUGUAGGAAUACCCUAUCUUCUUUAUAAGAGCUUUGAUACAUGAAAAAUAUUCCAAAAGAAUUUCCGAACAUAUAAUUUUCGCCCCGUAAUAUAGCAAAGAUCACAAAAAGGCCUGAAAAGUACAUUAUGGUCAAAAAUUUGGAGUAGAAAAAAAACAAAUAGAAGAAUUCCAUUGUGCUUCCUCAUUCAUCGGAGAGCUCUCUUUGGGCUUUCCGAAAAGGUAUCCAAUGCCAAGUUUUGCCUUACGGUCUAAAAUUUAUAGAGUUGUACAUUUUUAAC
rnacentral:sRNA from 1 species